rnacentral:rRNA from 1 species
ACGCUGGCGGCAUGCCUUACACAUGCAAGUCGAACGGCAGCACGGGAGCAAUCCUGGUGGCGAGUGGCGAACGGGUGAGUAAUACAUCGGAACGUGCCCAAUCGUGGGGGAUAACGCAGCGAAAGCUGUGCUAAUACCGCAUACGAUCUACGGAUGAAAGCAGGGGACCGCAAGGCCUUGCGCGAAUGGAGCGGCCGAUGGCAGAUUAGGUAGUUGGUGGGGUAAAGGCUCACCAAGCCAACGAUCUGUAGCUGGUCUGAGAGGACGACCAGCCACACUGGGACUGAGACACGGCCCAGACUCCUACGGGAGGCAGCAGUGGGGAAUUUUGGACAAUGGGCGAAAGCCUGAUCCAGCAAUGCCGCGUGCAGGAUGAAGGCCUUCGGGUUGUAAACUGCUUUUGUACGGAACGAAACGGUCUUUUCUAAUACAGAAGGCUAAUGACGGUACCGUAAGAAUAAGCACCGGCUAACUACGUGCCAGCAGCCGCGGUAAUACGUAGGGUGCAAGCGUUAAUCGGAAUUACUGGGCGUAAAGCGUGCGCAGGCGGUUAUGUAAGACAGUUGUGAAAUCCCCGGGCUCAACCUGGGAAUUGCAUCUGUGACUGCAUAGCUAGAGUACGGUAGAGGGGGAUGGAAUUCCGCGUGUAGCAGUGAAAUGCGUAGAUAUGCGGAGGAACACCGAUGGCGAAGGCAAUCCCCUGGACCUGUACUGACGCUCAUGCACGAAAGCGUGGGGAGCAAAC